rnacentral:lncRNA from 1 species
CAUUAUCUUUCUUCUGCUGUAAGUUUAAUUUAGUUAUUUUGUGUCAUAAUUGCCAUCUCGUAUGUUUUAAAUUUGAAUAAAGAAGAUUCAGGUUGUCUUAUACGUCAAUGAUACACACACAAAAAAAAACGAUAACAAAUAAAAUAAGGUGCAACAUUCAUUCUCCAUGAAAAGAAUACAUCACAUGGAUGUAAUUUUUGUAAGAAAAAUACCAAUUUCGUGAGAAGUUGUGUGUUGGACUUGAAGAGCCAAGGCAAACUGACAAAUAUCUGAAUGAAC